UCUGCGUGGGAGCCAGCUGCCAAGCCGCCUCUUCCUGCCGGCCCCCGCAGGCUCCUGCCCCAUGCACCAGCUAGAGAGCUGCGUUCAUUUGCCUGGGUAGGGGAGCCAGCCCUGCAGAGAGAGAUGGGCUCCCCGGACCUGACGGGGGGCGUCUAUGGAUUCCCCAUGGCUUUCCCCUGCGGCAGGUUUGCAGCCAUUCCCCCUCCCUGCCCGAGCCUGCACCCGGCCUGAGCGCAGGCUGGGCAGCACCAGGCCUCACGUGCAUCUGCAGGGCGCUUUGCCUCACCCAGCACCCAGCCAGGGGCGAGCCAGGAGGGCCCCGCUGUCACAGCACCCCGCUGCAGCUGCUCCCCAGCAUCUGGAGCUGAGCCUCGCUGGACUCUCUCCCAAACAGCUCCCUCUGCGCCACGCAGGAGCUGCCUCAGGGAUCCCGUGCUGGGGGCUGGUUUCCUCAGAGCCCUGGCCCGAAGCAGGGGUGAGUUAGAGGGAACAGCUUGGUCUCGCCUGCUGGCCCCUUCGCACCCCAGGCAGCCGCGUUAACAGCUGCCUUCUGCAAGGCCUGUUCUACGCUGCAGUGGGGCAAACCCUUCGUGCAGACGCUGCUCCGGCGUGGCGUGACAAGGCUGCACCAGUGCACGGCUCAUCUGCACCAGGUACGUGCAGCUCCCUUGGUGCGAGAAGAGCCCUGGGCGAGAGCAGAGAUCUCCCUUCGCCUGGGAGGGAAACGCAGCUGGAGCUCUCCAGGCUGCCCGCACCAGCUGCUCUCUCCUUUCUUGGAAGAGCUGAAGCAAAAGGGAAAGUCUCCUAUUUUUGUAGCUGGAGAUUCCUGACUUGCAGCACUUGAGGCUGCAGGUUCCCCAGGCCGGCCAGCUGGGCGGGGGCGAAAGGGUUUUAGGGUUUGGACACUGAAGGAAAAAUUAAAGAGCAGCCUCAAGGCGCAUUUCAGGGCUUGGGGGAGGCAGCUAGGCCCUGAUUCUGCACUUCCUUGGGCAGCGACGUCCACCCGCGCAGAGCGGAGGGGGAGCAUUUGGCCCGGGUUCUAGUGCCUGCGCUGGGUGCAGGACAGCAGAGAAUCGGGCCCAAUAUUCUGAAGCGUGAGACACGGCUGCUCGUCCCCAGAGAUCGGCUCAGCUUGGCAGAAGCCCCGGCGCAUGCAGCCCGACAUGCUGAACGGACCCCAGCAGAGACAGAGCCAACUUCAGCCUCUCGCCACAAGGGCCAGACCUGGCUAAUCCUAGCCCCAGAGGAAGGCAGAGGUGGGAGCCCAGGUCAGCUGGGAUGGGGAGCACCCCCGAUCCCUGCGGCUGCAGCAGCGUGUACAGAUUCAGAGACCGUUGAAGAGGGUCUAAUCCGCCCCUCCGCUGUCGUUAAAGACCAUCCCUGCUUCUCCUACGACUGAACAAGCGAAGCCCAGGCAAGGGCAGAGAAGAACAGCCACAUGAGAGAGGGGCCCCGGCGUCUGUCUCCACUGCUGACUCUCAUAUGCAGCCUUAGCGCUGGAGAAACAGGGGCCCCGGCUGUGGUCUGAGCAGCCGCGCCGAGACCUGGCAAACUCAUACCAACAUGGGCUGUUUAGGGCGUCGCUUUUAACUGCCUCUCUGGGCAUGGGCUCCCAGCAGCCCUGGCAACCAGACAGGCCCGGCCGGCUCAGAUCGGAACCAGCGAGGAAAAAAUACACUGAGGAAAGCAAAUGAAACCAAGGGAGGGCGUGGCAGCUGCAGGAGCCCCAGUCUCGUGGCCCAGAAGGCAUUGAGAGAGUUAGCCGGAGCUGCUGGAGAGGAUGAUCUCAUCGGGGCCCUUUCUCUGGCCUGGCCGGGACUUCCCAUGACUUGGACGGUGAAGGUGCCAUGGCAGAUGGGAUCCCGGGGGCCCAGCAGAUAGAUGACAAAGCUGCUUCUUUCCACCCUCCUACCCCAUCCUCACACGGUGGCAGAAGUGGGGUGCUCUGGAACUGCUCCCCAUAAGCCAGGCAGGACUCUG